ACAUGGGGAGAUGAAACAAGUACCCACCAGCUCAAACUAACUCAGCAAGUCCAGCAAAGGGGAGGUAGCACAGCAGGAAGACAUGCGAGGGCCCUGCAGCAUUUGCCCUCAGAAAGCAGAAGUCUUCUAUUCACAGUUCUUCCUUCGAACUAUUGAUUCACACUGGGGCAAAAUGAAAAAUUUCCCGGAUCAUGUCAGAGGCAAGGAACUCAGGAAUGGAAGCCACUAGAUACCUUUGGAAGGCGGAGAGAAA
rnacentral:lncRNA from 1 species